UGAGAGUUUGAUCCUGGCUCAGAGCGAACGCUGGCGGCAGGCUUAACACAUGCAAGUCGAGCGGCCGUAGCAAUACGGCAGCGGCAGACGGGAGAGUAACACGUGGGAACGUGCCUAUCAGUUCGGAACAACCCAGGGAAACUUGGGCUAAUACCGGAUACGCCCUUACGGGGAAAGAUUUAUCGCUGAUAGAGCGGCCCGCGUCUGAUUAGCUUGUUGGUGAGGUAACGGCUCACCAA
rnacentral:rRNA from 1 species